rnacentral:rRNA from 1 species
ACUCCUACGGGAGGCAGCAGUGGGGAAUAUUGCACAAUGGGCGCAAGCCUGAUGCAGCCAUGCCGCGUGUAUGAAGAAGGCCUUCGGGUUGUAAAGUACUUUCAGCAGUGAGGAAGGUGGGUAUGUUAAUAGCAUAUUCAUUUGACGUUAGCUGCAGAAGAAGCACCGGCUAACUCCGUGCCAGCAGCCGCGGUAAUACGGAGGGUGCGAGCGUUAAUCGGAAUUACUGGGCGUAAAGCGCAUGCAGGUGGUUGUUAAGUCAGAUGUGAAAGCCCGGGGCUCAACCUCGGAAUUGCAUUUGAAACUGGCAAACUAGAGUACUGUAGAGGGGGUAGAAUUUCAGGUGUAGCGGUGAAAUGCGUAGAGAUCUGAAGG